GAUGCCAUGCUGCAUAUCCUGGAGAAACAUCCAGUAAACUCUGAAAACACAAAAGUCUGUGAAAAGGUUAUAACAACAGCCACUAUCCAUGGCAACCAAUGCAAUGGUGUGUCGAGUUUGCGUAGCAGGGACAAAUUUGUACAUGUCUCAGAGACAGAAACCAAGUUCUAGUUCCAGAACUACACUCUCAGAUGUCAGUAUUUUAA